rnacentral:rRNA from 1 species
GAGGAAAAGAAACCAACAGGGAUUGCCCUAGUAACGGCGAGUGAAGCGGCAACAGCUCAAAUUUGAAAGCUGGCCUUCGGGUCCGCAUUGUAAUUUGUAGAGGAUGCUUUUGGUGCGGUACCUUCCGAGUUCCUUGGAACAGGACGCCUUAGAGGGUGAGAGCCCCGUACGGUUGGAUGCCUAGCCUCUGUAAAGCUCCUUCGACGAGUCGAGUAGUUUGGGAAUGCUGCUCUAAAUGGGAGGUAAAUUUCUUCUAAAGCUAAAUAUUGGCCAGAGACCGAUAGCGCACAAGUAGAGUGAUCGAAAGAUGAAAAGCACUUUGAAAAGAGGGUUAAAUAGCACGUGAAAUUGUUGAAAGGGAAGGAUUUAUGACCAGACUUUUGUCUGGCGGAUCAUCCAGUGUUCUCACUGGUGCACUUCGCCAGGCCGAGGCCAGCAUCGGUUUCGGAAGGGGGAUAAAGGCUUCGGGAAUGUGACCCUCUCGGGGGUGUUAUAGCCCGUUGCGAAAUACCCUUUCUGGGACCGAGGUCCGCGCUCUGCAAGGAUGCUGGCAUAAUGGUCAUCAAUCACCCGU